rnacentral:rRNA from 1 species
AACACAUGCAAGUCGAGGGGCAGCAUGAAAUUUAUUUAUUUAGAUUUUGAUGGCGACCGGCGGACGGGUGCGUAACACGUAUGUAACCUACCUUUUUCUAGAAAAUAGCCUGAGGAAACUUGGAUUAAUAUUCUAUAAUACAGUAUUUUCGCAUGAAAAUAUUAUUAAAGCAGAAAUGCGGAAAAAGAUGGGCAUGCGCCCGAUUAGUUAGUUGGUGGGGUAAUGGCCUACCAAGACGAUGAUCGGUAGGGGGCCUGAGAGGGUGAUCCCCCACACUGGUACUGAGAUACGGACCAGACUCCUACGGGAGGCAGCAGUGAGGAAUAUUGGUCAAUGGAGGAAACUCUGAACCAGCCACGCCGCGUGCAGGAAGAAUGCCUUAUGGGUUGUAAACUGCUUUUGUUUAGGAAUAAAAAUUUCUACGUGAUAGAAAUUGUGAAGGUACUAAACGAAUAAGUGUCGGCAAACUCCGUGCCAGCAGCCGCGGUAAUACGGAGGACACAAGCGUUAUCCGGAUUUAUUGGGUUUAAAGAGUGCGUAGGCGGUUUAUUAAGUCAGUAGUGAAAUGUUACAGCUUAACUGUUAAAAUGGCUAAUGAUACUGAUAGACUUGAGUGAGAUUGGAGUAACUGGAAUGUGUGGUGUAGCGGUGAAAUGCAUAGAGAUCACACAGAACACCGAUCGCGAAAGCAGGUUACUAAAUCUAUACUGACGCUGAGGCACGAAAGCGUGGGGAGCAAACAGGAUUAGAUACCCUGGUAGUCCACGCCGUAAACGAUGAUCACUAGUCGUUGGAUUUUAUUAUUCAGUGACUAAGCGAAAGUGAUAAGUGAUCCACCUGGGGAGUACGAUCGCAAGGUUGAAACUCAAAGGAAUUGACGGGGGCCCGCACAAGCGGUGGAGCAUGUGGUUUAAUUCGAUGAUACGCGAGGAACCUUACCAAGGUUUAAAUGUACUACGAAUAAGCUAGAAAUAGUUUAGUCUUCGGACGGAGUACAAGAUGCUGCAUGGUUGUCGUCAGCUCGUGCCGUGAGGUGUUGGGUUAAGUCCCUCAACGAGCGCAACCCUCAUUGUUAGUUGCCAACGAAUAAUGUCGGGGACUCUAGCAAGACUGCCGACGUAAGUCGAGAGGAAGGUGGGGACGACGUCAAAUCAUCACGGCUCUUAUACCUUGGGCUACACACGUGCUACAAUGGUCGGUACAAAGGGUUGCUAUUGAGUAAUCAUAAGCUAAUCUCUAAAAACCGAUCUCAGUUCGGAUUGGAGUCUGCAACUCGACUCUAUGAAGUUGGAAUCGCUAGUAAUCGCAUAUCAGCCAUGAUGCGGUGAAUACGUUCCCGGGCCUUGUACACACCGCCCGUCAAGCCAUGGAAGUCGGGGGGACCUGAAAUUGGUGACCAUAAAAGGAACUGCUUAAGGUAAAAUCGAUAACUGGGGCUAAGUCGUAACAAGGUAGCCGUACCGGAAGGUGUGGCUG